UUCCCGGGCCUUGUACACACCGCCCGUCACACCACGAAAGUCGGCAAUACCCGAAGCCGGUGGCCCAACCCGCAAGGGAGGGAGCCGUCGAAGGUAGGGUCGAUGAUUGGGGUG
rnacentral:rRNA from 1 species